ensembl:lncRNA
GGAAAUGUAGUUUUACAGGAGGGGUGCAGCUGUUCCAGAGAGGGAGUCCCCUGUCCCGUCUGUGCAACAGAAUCCCCCCUACUCAUCAGGAAUCUGCAUGGUAAUCCCCCAUCUCCAUCUCCCUCCCCCUCCCACCCCCAAGACGGCCGAGCCCAGAACCAAGCGACCUGGGACCCAGGGGCGACCAGCCCCGCCGGGGAACCAGCAGAGCCCAGGGACCCAGAUCCCACCAGGCAGCCACCAGGAUUGAUCAGGCAGACGCUAAAAAUUUUAAACCCCCUGACCCCGGAGCCGCAAACACUCAGGCAGACCAAGGCACCACACUCCACACCAAGUGUGACAGGGGGAGGGGAGGCGAAGAUGUAUAGCAUCAAAAGAAGUCUCAGGAGAGGGGAGGAGUCAAAGGCCCCACCUGACAUAUACAGUCAUACACAAACACAGUCACACACUCCCUCCCACACAUACACAUACUACCUAAGAUACAAAAAUGCAUGCCAGACACCCACUCAUACUCCCCAUACACACCCUAUUCACUCUGGUCCCGGUACUGCAGCACAAAGGGUACAACCAUCACCGGUUCCCAGAGUUCGACCCUUUCUGCUGGGGUGCUGAUGAGCAGGCUCCCCGCCCAACACCAAGCAACGCGACCCACCACCCCAGCCAGCCAGACGGCCAGAUCCCCCUCCUAACCGCCAGCCCCGGGAAGCCAAGCGACAACAGAGGUGUGCUAAGACCCCUAGUCACCCUCCGCCUGCUCCAGCACAGUGUUGGUGCGUGUUGAUGAGGUGCAUUUGUUGCUGUGGUGAGCGGGCAGUGCAGGCAUCGUCUGGCCUAUGCCAGCUGAUGCCACCACACCACACAGGAGAGCACAUUUCUGCCACUAGAAGUUAGCAUUAGCAACUGCACACCAUGGAGAAACACGCUCAGGUUUGUGUUAUUUGUGGAAAUAAAACAUCCACAUUGCAUUUUUUACCCAAGAAAGACGAGCAAGCAAGGGCAGGGGAAGAGUUGCAUUCUUAGUAGCCAAUCAGAGUCGAGACCUUAGCAUUUCAUGAUUAUUAAUGAGCAAGACUCCAAAUUCAGUCAGUUUCCACUCCCCACUCUUCCAGCUAACUUCUACUUCCUGAAACAGGAGUGUCAGGACUCUUUUACUGCAGGGAACAAUUCACAACUCAUUCAUACCAGAUCAGAGCAGAUUUAUUGCACAUGUGACUCAUUUAAAAGAGGGCAUGCCUUUCAUGUCAGAGUUUUAAACUAAGAUCAUCUUUUCUUGAGAAAUGAUCAAGUGACUCAUGCAAACAUACAAAGUAUUAAAACUCCAACAGCUGCCUACACAAGAUGUUAAGUUAGUGUGUAACUCUUGGGGCUCAUGCUGGUGAUGUCUCCUAACUAUUACAACACCACAUUUUAGCUUAACAUCUAUAAAUCUGGUCCAAUUACAGCUGUUCUUUUUGUUUAUUAGGGUCUGUUGGUGAUAGACGUCUAAAUUCAAUGAUUACUUUCUGAGAGAGGUGUGAGACAGACAAGGUUGACUCAAAAGGCAAAUGGUUGAUUUCAUUGAAAGGUUUGAAAUAAAAGCUGUGUUUGCACUGCACACACUAACGCUCCAUUCUGAAAUGUUUUAUGAUCUCAUCUGUUUUUAUUGUGCGGUUUUUCUGACAACAACUGAAAUGCAGUCAGAUGAACGGUCUACGGCCCUGAAGUGAUGCGCACGUGUGCAUGCUGUAUUUAAGUCAUGGCCAUGCUUGCUUCAUCCACUGUUGCAACCCAUGAUCAAAUGCAGAAUUGCACCGUGUGUCUCCCUUCGGUGACACAAAUAAACGUUCAGACUUUAUAAACCAUUUAACCACAUUAGAAUUUAUAAACAAAUCUCAUUUGUUUUGCUCAAACUGUGAUAAACCAUCAAAUACGGGUUAAGCAAGUCCGAUUUGAGCCACGUUUGCCUUUGGUGUGACGAUACACUGUCAUUUAGCACUGAUAAUGGGAAUGGCUUUUAGCCACUGGCACUAUGUACUUUACCUGACAGUCAUAACCAUUCGUGUUUCCGUUUGGGUCACCUCCUCAAGUUUACCAGCCACAGAUGCGUUAUACAUGCAAUCAUUAGAAACAUCUAACGAUGACUUUCUGUUACAACUUCUAUUAAAAGUCUUCUCGUAGUUAAGGGCGCCCUCAAGGGGUGGCCAGGGGUGGCCAUGGCCACCCCUAGAAAAAUAUUGCCCCCCCCCAGGAAAAGCCAGUGUUAACAAAUCAUAUUGAUGUUCAGUCAAACCAUAUAUUGAUCUUGUUUAUUCAAGACAUAAUUGUAAAACAAAAGAAAAUAUUACAAUUAAUGAGUAAAGAAAUAAUCAGAAAUUUAAAAAAUACAUAUGUUUCUGCUACUCAACUUUAAAAAAAGUUUUUAUCUCCAUAGUUUUUUUAUUUUUUGUGAACACAGCAACAGGUGAAUUAACCAAAAAAAAGCAUUUUUUAAUUAAAUUUGGGAUAACAUUUUAAACAACUGAAAUGUAUAUCUGAAAUGUUUGUGUUGGUAAAAGUGAAGUUAAAUGUUUUGGAUACGUACAGUUAUUUUGAUAAAAACUAAUAAAAACGCAAUGCAGUACAUCGCCACAGGCUAAAUUCUCCCAGAGUUACCACAAGGACCAAUUUGGUGUGCCACCCAAAAAAUGUCUUUCGCCCCAUCUGGCCACCCCUAUCAAAAUUUUCUGGAAGAAGAAGAAGAAAAGAUCUUUUCUAUAGCGCCUCUCAUGAUAAAAAUCUCGAGGUGCUUCACAAAAACAAAAAAUGUAAAAUAUAAAAAACAAUUUAGAAAAUGAUUAAAAAUACUUUUAGAAUGACCAAAAAUAGACAAUUGUGACUAAAAAAUGUAAAGAAAGAGAGUGAAUAGGAAAGAGGGAAAUCAGUGGAUCCUGAGGAAGGUGGAAUAGGUGGGGAGAGCAGAACAAGGAGAGGGUGAUGAGGGUGACGUGAUGGAGGCGCCCCUGCUCGUGGUUUUUGAGAUUUCAGACACAGGCACCAUCUUUUAGACAAUGGUGAUAAAAAUGUUCACUUGGCAUUAAUGGCUGUGAUGGGAACAAGAGGUCGUGUGUGUGAAAGCAGAACAACAACCUGUGUCUGCUUGGUUUUUUCUAGCUGAUACAGAAUAUUUACUCAAUGUAUAUUCAGAACUGAGAAUGUGUUGAUAUUUUUCGGCAGUAUGGUUCAGAUGAAGAUGAGAAAAAGGUCAUGUGGUUCCAGAGAGCACAGACCAUCUAAUCUAAAGUUCUACACAUCUCAUCAGCGUACCCACCCAUGAUCAGGCCCAGCUGGCUCUCCCUCUCAAACACCCUCCCCCUUCUGGAUUCACCCUUAUCUUCGUUACAGUCUCAGUAAUAUGAUCAAACCUGCUUGGUGAAACCCAACCUUUGUUUUAUUCGAUGGCGGCAUGGAAUGAGAUUCUAUUAAUAACAGCAGCCCAAUUGGGUUGGCUGGCUGACUCCCGGCGGAGGCAGCGCUGAAAAGGUUACGCAGGUGGAGUUGUAGCGAAGAUGGGGGUGAGAAGGAGAUGAUUCUGCCUUGAUCACUGGCUCUGAACAAGGUGUUAUCAGCUGCAGCAGAAAGGCAGAAGGGGGGGGAGCAGCCAGAAUGGCGUUAAUGACUCGCCUUGUUUUUUUUGAAGCAGAGUUGCGUUUUCAAACGCGAGGCAAUUAGAGGGGGAUUUGUUCUGUUGUGCUCUGGUUUCAGCAGUGACUUAGUGAAGCUGUCAUCUGCCGGCCAAUCAGCACCGGACAGGAGUGACUGCUGAGGGCCACCACACGCGGUGAUGUGACGUAAUUUCUGCUCAUAAACACACUUGAAACACACACCGUACCCCGUGCCUUGAAGACAGCAGGUAAUGUUUGAAUGCAUGCACACGCUGUUGUUGAAAAGCAUCCGUGUGCUCAGACACACGGCGUUUGUGAAGCACAGGUGACACAUUAUCGGAAUUCUUCACAUCUCAUUAUGUUGCCUUGCACAAAAGACAGAAAGGGGAGAAUAAAUUUGCCCCUGCUUGCUCCCAAACCGCUCUCUUUGUCUCCUCGGAUUAUCCAUCAGAGCAGCAACACACCCACUAUUAGUUUGCUGCUGCUGCUGACCCCAGUCAUUCAUUUAAUUGGCUGUUAAUUGCUAUUCUCUCUACAAAAGACAAUGUAUAUGUGGGGCUAUAUUUAGGCUCGCCCCUCGAUGGCUCUUCAUGCUAAAUUACAACUUUCAGCCAGGAGCUGAAGGGCCCCAUUGUGGCCUGUCGUUCUCCCCCUCUGUGACUGACUGACAGGCCGAGGAGGGGGGAAGACAUCCCUCCCACCCAGCUCCUAUCCUUCUCUUCACUCCUCUCUUUCCCCUUCUUUUUCCUUUUGCCAUCAGCUGCUCUACUGUACAAUCCGACACCUGGAUGAGGCUGCAUACCUGUCCUUUUUGACACAACAGCAGCAACUUUUUAUUAGUUUCCCUAAAUUGUACGCUACUUCCUACGAGGGCAGAAAAACAGUACUCAUCUAUUUAGCUAUUUGUUUCUGAACCCGUGCCGUGUGCUUUGCUCGACUUUCCUCUAACUCAAAGUUCAGACGUCUUGAU